GACGAACGCUGGCGGCGUGCUUAACACAUGCAAGUCGAACGGAAAGGCCCUGCUUGCAGGGUACUCGAGUGGCGAACGGAUGAGUAACACGUGGGUGAUCUGCCCUGCACUUCGGGAUAAGCCUGGGAAACUGGGUCUAAUACCGGAUAGGAGCCAUUUUUAGUGUGAUGGUUGGAAAGUUUUUUCGGUGUAGGAUGAGCUCGCGGCCUAUCAGCUUGUUGGUGGGGUAAUGGCCUACCAAGGCGGCGACGGGUAGCCGGCCUGAGAGGGUGGACGGCCACAUUGGGACUGAGAUACGGCCCAGACUCCUACGGGAGGCAGCAGUGGGGAAUAUUGCACAAUGGGCGCAAGCCUGAUGCAGCGACGCCGCGUGGGGGAUGACGGCCUUCGGGUUGUAAACUCCUUUCGCUAGGGACGAAGCUUUUUGUGACGGUACCUAGAGAAGAAGCACCGGCUAACUACGUG
rnacentral:rRNA from 1 species